CUCAUAAAAUUGCGGUCGACCGUGAAACGACAACGUUCUGAACAUCGCUGGAAUAUGCAUACGAGCGCAUGGACAUAUCGUAAUUGACUCGUCCGACAUUUCUCUGGGCGAAGGUGCCUUGUAACGACCUUUGCGAUGAUGCUCUAAACAACACCGCCAUAGUUUUUCUUCUUCUUCCUAGCGCUCAACCGUAACCUCUUGUUCGCGUUGUUUGUGUUUCUUUGUUUUGACUCGUUGGAUGUUCGGUGGUUACGCCAGGCUAUGACACAUGAUAAGUAGUCUUUAAUUGGAGUCACUGGAUGAUUGUGUUAUACAUGUGGAGGUGCACUACUGAGGGACCAAGGUUCAUUGAGUUUAACUGUAUUGUUCAUAGCAUGGACUCUAACAUUACAUGGGAAGGUCAGUCAGAUCAUUUUGAUCCAUUACUGAAUUAGCAAAAAUUAUUGCUUUCAUUUGAUGUGUACUUUUUCUUAUAAUUUAAAGUAAUGGUGAAUUAAUAGCAUAUUCUGUGGCACUGAAACUCUAAUUGGGAUGAGAAAGAAGAUUAUUAUUAGAGAAAGAUGUGAUUGUUUUAUAUUGUCCUAAUUUCUUCCUCCAAAUUGAAUAUUAAUACUGGAACGAAAUACAUAGUGCCUGCUUGUAUUGUUAUCGAAAUAAAUAAUAUCCAAUCAUCUUAUCAGUAUCUGGAAAAACGUUCAAGUAGCCAUGAAGCUAAGCGUAAUCAGCAUAGACAUACAACAAGGAGAAAAGCUAAAUGAAAAUUUGACGAUUUGGAAAGUUGAAUGAAAAAGUUGAAAAUUUACAUAGUAUAACCAGAAAGCUAUGAAAAGGAAGAUAAGUUAAAUUCUAAAGACUUCAUUAUAGAAAAAACACCGACCAAUAACACAAAUGCAGUUAAAUAAUAAGUAGGAAAAUACAUUGUACUGUAGCAUAUUGGUAUCAUAGUUAAAUCAUGUACAUAUAUAUUAUAUUAAAACUAAGACAAAAGAAUUAAACUACAUGUACAUCUAAUAAUAGUGGGCUGUAAAGAUAGAAUAACUAUUCCUAGGAUUAGGAAGAGUGUACAUGUAACAAGUAAAUCACUAUGCUAAGCCAAAGAACCUCCUUGUGAUAGACAUACAGUCUGACUAAAUGAAGUAUUCUUACAUUAUUAUAUUAAUGUUUACAAGCGGUGAAAAUAGGAAGAAUGGAGACAUUUCUUGUCCUAUUCCAUAAAGAAGAUCAGCCAUUCCCUGUUUUUACUCCAAAGUUUUUACGCUCAUUACACAUUUUAUUUAUAAUUUUUCAUUAUUCAACAGUUUUAUAACAUCAAAGUGCCACUAAUAGAAUGUAUUAUAACAUAAAAUAAAAAUAAUGCAAUAAAAUGUAUUUCAGUUUUUAAAUAAAUACGAACCACCCUUAUACAUAUAUAAAUAAUAAAUUAUCUAACUAGA
rnacentral:misc_RNA from 1 species